rnacentral:rRNA from 1 species
UACAGAGGGGGCAAGCGUUAUUCGGAAUUAUUGGGCGUAAAGGGCGCGUAGGCGGCUUGGCAAGUGGAUGGUGAAAUCCCUCGGCUUAACCGAGGAACUGCCGUCCAAACUGCUUCGCUUGAGACCGGGAGAGGUGAGUGGAAUUCCCAGUGUAGCGGUGAAAUACGUAGAUAUUGGGAGGAACACCAGUGGCGAAGGCGGCUCACUGGACCGGUACUGACGCUGAUGCGCGAAAGCGUGGGGAGCAAACGGG